UGGGGAAUCUUGCACAAUGGGCGAAAGCCUGAUGCAGCAACGCCGCGUGAGCGAAGAAGGCCUUUGGGUCGUAAAGCUCUGUCCUAAGGGAAGAAGGAAGUGACGGUACCUUAGGAGGAAGCCCCGGCUAACUACGUGCCAGCAGCCGCGGUAAUACGUAGGGGGCAAGCGUUAUCCGGAAUUAUUGGGCGUAAAGAGUACGUAGGCGGUUCUUUAAGCGCAGGGUUUAAGGCUAUGGCUUAACUAUAGUUCGCCCUGUGAACUGGAGGACUUGAGUAUCGGAGAGGAAAGCGGAAUUCCUAGUGUAGCGGUGAAAUGCGUAGAUAUUAGGAGGAACACCAGUGGCGAAGGCGGCUUUCUGGACGAAAACUGACGCUGAGGUACGAAAGCGUGGGGAGCAAACAGGAUUAGAUACCC
rnacentral:rRNA from 1 species